UUUUUUGCUAAAAUUAUUAAAUUUCACGAAAAAAGAAACUUAAUGGAACCUAAAAACCCAUCAUAACGCGUUUUUGAAGCUCCAAAGUGUUUAUUAGUUAUUUUAUGCUCUACGAAGAGAUUUUUCGUCCUAAAUCAAUAUGUAAAGUUUCAAUCGAAAGAACUAACCUAACAUUUUUCCGUCAAUUUAAAAUUUUAUGAUUUUAAAAUAUCCGGAUAAUUUAUUAAAAUAGAAAGAUGGACUUUACUUUUACAGAGUUGCUCACCCCAUCUAUCGGUAAUCACCUAAAUUAAAAUUAAUGUUUGACAUAUUAAAAUCAGCUGUUACAUUUCUUCCUAAUAUUAUUAAUUUUUAUGAGGAAAGAAACUUAAUAGAACAUAAGAACACAUUGUAACACAUCUAUGGAGAUCCAAACUGUUCAUUUAAAGUGAUUUUAUGGUCCACGAAGAGAUUUUUCGCCCUAAAUCAAUCUGUGAAGUUUCCAGCCUAACUUUUCUCCGUCAAUUUAAAAUUUUUGGGAUUUAAAAGAAAAGGAUAUUAUUAAAUUUUAUGAAGAACCGACCAGCCAACUCGACGUAUUGUCUUCGAUUUGACACAUAGGAUGGCAGAAGUCGUGUAAGAGAAUAAUCACACCCAAACCUCUCCAACUUUUCCGUCCACAAGAAUAGGUCUAUAGGUCCACGGCGAUCUAGUGCCCUAGAUACGUUUGCCGAAACCAUGUUGAUGUUUAGACAUUCGCGCUUUGGUGUGGAAUUCCAUCUUGUAUGCCACGAUUUGUUCAAACAGCUUCGCGAAGUUAUUUAUAAUGGCUAUUGGCCGAUAGUUCAUCACACAGCACCUAUCACCCUUUUUAAAAACAGGACGAAUUCUGCUCAAUUUCCAGGAUUCCGGAAAUUUAGAGUUCCUUACAAUUAGAUUGAAAAUAUGUUGUUGCAGUGGUCGCAGAAAUGCAGGUGCACAGUCUUUAACUAUAAAUGCAGGAAUGCCAUCUGGCCCGGUUGUAUUUUUUGCCUUAAAUCUAUUGAAGGAUUCCACCAUUUCGCCAUAGCUAAUUUCAGAGAUACCGAAAGAAACCCCAGUCAUAACAGGAUUGAUACUGUACAUAGUUUCGAAAUGGUCAGCAAAUAAAUUCACUAUAGUAGGUAAAUCGGUUAUGGUUUUACCAUUCCAUUUCAGAACACUUGGGGAGUUCGAGUUGUUUCUACUCAUGUUAACAAAGUGCCAAAAAUUUUUAGGAUUGUCUUUUAUAUAUCUCUCCAAAAAUCCUAUAUAUAUAUAAAUUUAUAAUUAAAAUUAAUUUAAUUGUGUUAUAUAAAAACUCUUUCCCAUUCUCUAUUUAAGAUUAUGUUAAUUUCGUGAAAGGUAGAACUGGUUAGUAUUAAACGCAAAAAAAAGAUGUAAACGUUAGCUGGUUAUCUGACUGUUUCAUCUGUAUACAAACGGUCAGCACGAUCUAUCAUACUCGACGAGGGUGGCCAUCUAACGCUCUCAUCUGAGCAUCUUGAAACUAAACGGCAAUCAAAACAGUCGUGGCGAGGUGUCCGAGGUUGUUUCUUGUACGCGUUCCGGCGUGUACUUACACGGAAAGGUCACGUUCAAACUGGUUACUAAACGAUACUCGCUCAUCCAUCAUAACAACGGAGUCGAGAAAUACCAAUAACGAGCGUCACAACGCCGUGGAACGAUUUUUAAGUUUUAGAUUGUUGAGUACGAUGAGAAAGUGGUGUUGGAAACUUUUUGGGCCACCUGGAGACGUAAAUAUGACGAGGUCAGGCGGUACAGGAUGGUCUUCUUCUGGCCGGGCUCCAACUUAUUACCACUUGAAGUCGACCGCGCCUAAUUAAAAACUCUGCGUUUCCGAACUCCGAGUUGAUUUAUUAAAGGAGGCAAAGUUAAUUGGAUUACUGAAACCGCACGGAGUGUAUUCGAAUUCUGACACUAAUAAAUAUUAAAAAAAUAACAAACGGAAUAUUUUUCCCCCUUCAUUAAGUUCUUGGGGAUCAAUUCGAGGGGGUUUUAUGUAAAUGGUAUUAAUGCAUGUGCUUUAAUCGGGGACUAUUAAUUCAAACCUUAUCAGAUCACAACCCCCGAUUACUAUUAGAUUUUAAUUACCCUCCCAACUCAACUACCGGGAGGUAAUUUAUUUUUUUGUUUCAUAAAUUCCUAGAAGUUUUUGCUCGUUCAAAACAAGGAAAUGCACUAUGGGGGGUUGCAAAACUUACGUAAGAAAUAAAAGUGGAUUUGUUUGUUGAACGUGAAUCCGAACUGGUAUGGUAUU
rnacentral:lncRNA from 1 species